rnacentral:rRNA from 1 species
GGUUAAGCGACUAAGCGUACACGGUGGAUGCCCUGGCAGUCAGAGGCGAUGAAGGACGUGCUAAUCUGCGAAAAGCGUCGGUAAGGUGAUAUGAACCGUUAUAACCGGCGAUGUCCGAAUGGGGAAACCCAGUGUGAUUCGUCACACUAUCGUUAACUGAAUACAUAGGUUAACGAGGCGAACCGGGGGAACUGAAACAUCUAAGUACCCCGAGGAAAAGAAAUCAACCGAGAUUCCCCCAGUAGCGGCGAGCGAACGGGGAGCAGCCCAGAGUCUGAAUCAGCUUGUGUGUUAGUGGAACGGUCUGGAAAGUCCGACGGUACAGGGUGAUAGUCCCGUACACCAAAAUGCACAGGUUGUGAACUCGAAGAGUAGGGCGGGACACGUGGUAUCCUGUCUGAAUAUGGGGGGACCAUCCUCCAAGGCUAAAUACUCCUGACUGACCGAUAGUGAACCAGUACCGUGAGGGAAAGGCGAAAAGAACCCCGGCGAGGGGAGUGAAAAAGAACCUGAAACCGUGUACGUACAAGCAGUGGGAGCACCUUCGGGUGUGACUGCGUACCUUUUGUAUAAUGGGUCAGCGACUUAUAUUCUGUAGCAAGGUUAACCGUAUAGGGGAGCCGCAGGGAAACCGAGUCUUAACUGGGCGUUAAGUUGCAGGGUAUAGACCCGAAACCCGGUGAUCUAGCCAUGGGCAGGUUGAAGGUUGGGUAACACUAACUGGAGGACCGAACCGACUAAUGUUGAAAAAUUAGCGGAUGACUUGUGGCUGGGGGUGAAAGGCCAAUCAAACCGGGAGAUAGCUGGUUCUCCCCGAAAGCUAUUUAGGUAGCGCCUCGUGAAUUCAUCUUCGGGGGUAGAGCACUGUUUCGGCUAGGGGGUCAUCCCGACUUACCAACCCGAUGCAAACUACGAAUACCGAAGAAUGUUAUCACGGGAGACACACGGCGGGUGCUAACGUCCGUCGUGAAGAGGGAAACAACCCAGACCGCCAGCUAAGGUCCCAAAGUCAUGGUUAAGUGGGAAACGAUGUGGGAAGGCACAGACAGCCAGGAUGUUGGCUUAGAAGCAGCCAUCAUUUAAAGAAAGCGUAAUAGCUCACUGGUCGAGUCGGCCUGCGCGGAAGAUGUAACGGGGCUAAACCAUGCACCGAAGCUGCGGCAGCGACACUAUGUGUUGUUGGGUAGGGGAGCGUUCUGUAAGCCUGCGAAGGUGGCCUGUGAGGGUUGCUGGAGGUAUCAGAAGUGCGAAUGCUGACAUAAGUAACGAUAAAGCGGGUGAAAAGCCCGCUCGCCGGAAGACCAAGGGUUCCUGUCCAACGUUAAUCGGGGCAGGGUGAGUCGACCCCUAAGGCGAGGCCGAAAGGCGUAGUCGAUGGGAAACAGGUUAAUAUUCCUGUACUUGGUGUUACUGCGAAGGGGGGACGGAGAAGGCUAUGUUAGCCGGGCGACGGUUGUCCCGGUUUAAGCAUGUAGGCUGGUUAUCCAGGCAAAUCCGGAUAAUCAAGGCUGAGGUGUGAUGACGAGGCACUACGGUGCUGAAGUAACAAAUGCCCUGCUUCCAGGAAAAGCCUCUAAGCAUCAGGUAACAUUAAAUCGUACCCCAAACCGACACAGGUGGUCAGGUAGAGAAUACCAAGGCGCUUGAGAGAACUCGGGUGAAGGAACUAGGCAAAAUGGUGCCGUAACUUCGGGAGAAGGCACGCUGGUGUGUAGGUGAAGUCCCUGCGGAUGGAGCUGAGACCAGUCGAAGAUACCAGCUGGCUGCAACUGUUUAUUAAAAACACAGCACUGUGCAAACACGAAAGUGGACGUAUACGGUGUGACGCCUGCCCGGUGCCGGAAGGUUAAUUGAUGGGGUUAUCCGUAAGGAGAAGCUCUUGAUCGAAGCCCCGGUAAACGGCGGCCGUAACUAUAACGGUCCUAAGGUAGCGAAAUUCCUUGUCGGGUAAGUUCCGACCUGCACGAAUGGCGUAAUGAUGGCCAGGCUGUCUCCACCCGAGACUCAGUGAAAUUGAACUCGCUGUGAAGAUGCAGUGUACCCGCGGCAAGACGGAAAGACCCCGUGAACCUUUACUAUAGCUUGACACUGAACAUUGAGCCUUGAUGUGUAGGAUAGGUGGGAGGCUUUGAAGCGUGGACGCCAGUCUGCGUGGAGCCAACCUUGAAAUACCACCCUUUAAUGUUUGAUGUUCUAACGUUGGCCCCUGACCGGGGUUGCGGACAGUGUCUGGUGGGUAGUUUGACUGGGGCGGUCUCCUCCCAAAGCGUAACGGAGGAGCACGAAGGUUAGCUAAUCCUGGUCGGACAUCAGGAGGUUAGUGCAAUGGCAUAAGCUAGCUUGACUGCGAGCGUGACGGCGCGAGCAGGUGCGAAAGCAGGUCAUAGUGAUCCGGUGGUUCUGAAUGGAAGGGCCAUCGCUCAACGGAUAAAAGGUACUCCGGGGAUAACAGGCUGAUACCGCCCAAGAGUUCAUAUCGACGGCGGUGUUUGGCACCUCGAUGUCGGCUCAUCACAUCCUGGGGCUGAAGUAGGUCCCAAGGGUAUGGCUGUUCGCCAUUUAAAGUGGUACGCGAGCUGGGUUUAGAACGUCGUGAGACAGUUCGGUCCCUAUCUGCCGUGGGCGCUGGAGAAUUGAGGGGGGCUGCUCCUAGUACGAGAGGACCGGAGUGGACGCAUCACUGGUGUUCGGGUUGUCAUGCCAAUGGCACUGCCCGGUAGCUAAAUGCGGAAGAGAUAAGUGCUGAAAGCAUCUAAGCACGAAACUUGCCCCGAGAUGAGUUCUCCCUGAGACUUUAAGUCUCCUGAAGGAACGUUAAAGACGAUGACGUUGAUAGGCCGGGUGUGUAAGCGCAGCGAUGCGUUGAGCUAACCGGUACUAAUGAACCGUGAGGCUUAACCUU